rnacentral:rRNA from 1 species
AAAGUUGGAACCUGGCUGCCCUAGGCAGUCCGGAUUGUAAACUAAAGAGCGUGAUUCCAGGCAAGCCGGUUGAUCAAGUCCUUUGGAAUGAGGCGCCACUGAGGGUGAGAGCCCCGUAAGUCGACUGAGCAUUUGUCUUUUGUGUUUCGCGUUCAAAGAGUCAGGUUGUUUGGGAAUGCAGCCUAAAGCUGGUGGUAAAUCCCACCUAAAGCUAAAUACAGGCGAGAGACCGAUAGCGAACAAGUACCGUGAGGGAAAGAUGAAAAGAACUUUGAAAAGAGAGUUAAACAGUAUGUGAAAUUGCCAAGAGGGAAGCAUUUGGAGUUAGAUUGACUAGGAGUUAAUCAGCUUGGUCUUUGGACUGGGUGUACUUGACUUCUAUUGGUCUGCCAAUAGCAGUUAGUCCUAGUGGAAAAAACCAGAGGGAAGGUAGUCCUUCGGGAUGUUUAUAGACCUUUGGAAAAUACACUGGGAUUGACUGAGGAAUGCAGUAGAUGCCACUAAGGCUUCGUCUAGUGGGUGCUAGGCAAAGGUACUUGGUAUUUUCAGCUUGCUGAUGUGCUAGGUUACUCGAGUCUAG